rnacentral:rRNA from 1 species
GACGAACGCUGGCGGCGUGCUUAACACAUGCAAGUCGAACGGUAAGGCCCUGCUUUUGUGGGGUGCUCGAGUGGCGAACGGGUGAGUAACACGUGAGUAACCUGCCCUUGACUGUGGGAUAACUUUAGGAAACUGGGGCUAAUACCGGAUAGGAGCUCCUGCUGCAUGGUGGGGGUUGGAAAGUUUCGGCGGGUGGGGAGGGACGGGCGGCUUAUCAGCUUGUUGGUGGGGUAGUGGCUUACCAAGGGUUUGACGGGUAGCCGGCCUGAGAGGGUGACCGGCCACAUUAGGACUGAGGAACGGCCCAGACUCCUACGGGAGGCAGCAGUGGGGAAUAUUGCACAAUGAGCGGAGGCCUGAUGCAGCAGCGCUGCGUGCGGGAUGACGGCCGUCGGGUUGUAAACCGCUUUCGCCUGUGACGAAGCGUGAGUGACGGUAAUGGGGAAAGAAGCACCGGCUAACUACGUG